UACGGAGGGAGCUAGCGUUGUUCGGAAUUACUGGGCGUAAAGCGCGCGUAGGCGGCCUUGCAAGUUAGAGGUGAAAGCCCGGAGCUCAACUCGGAACUGCCUUUAAAACUGCAUAGCUUGAAUCCGGGAGAGGUGAGUGGAAUUCCGAGUGUAGAGGUGAAAUUCGUAGAUAUUCGGAAGAACACCAGUGGCGAAGGCGGCUCACUGGACCGGUAUUGACGCUGAGGUGCGAAAGCGUGGGGAGCAAACAGG
rnacentral:rRNA from 1 species